rnacentral:tRNA from 1 species
GAGGUUAUAGCUCAGUGGUAAAGUGCCUGCUUAGCAUGCACAAGGUCCUGGGUUCAAUCCCUAGUACCUCCA